rnacentral:rRNA from 1 species
AUGGCGGAGUUCGCUCUUGGGCUGACCAAGACGGCGGUGGAGGGGACCUUGAGCAGGGUCAAGUCGGCGAUAGAGGAGGAGGCGAGGCUCAAGGAGAAGGUGCAGCACGACCUGGUGUUCAUCACCGCCGAGUUCCAGAUGAUGCAGUCCUUCCUCAACGUCGCCAACAAGGAGCGCGCCGAGAACCAGGUGGUGCGGACCUGGGUGAGGCAGCUUCGCGACCUGGCCUUCGAUGUCGAGGACUGCGUCGAGUUUGUUGUCCAUCUGGACAACAAGUCGACAUGGUGGUGGCGGAUUGUGCCAUCAUGUAUGGCACCGCCGCGGCACCGGCACCUCGACGAGGCCGCCGCCGAGAUAAAGCUGCUCAAGGAAAGGGUCGAGGAUGUUAGCCAGAGGAACACACGCUACAACCUCAUCAGCGACUCUGGCUCCCACACCAAGGCCAUCUCAGUGGCGGAGCAGCCGGCCCCGGCCACCGCCAACCCAUCAGCAUCUGUUUUCCCCCUCUUGCGGGAAGUGUGGGAUGUUGCUGGGAGGAUAAGCAACAUCGACAACCUCCAAGAUGUGAUCACUCAUGAAAGCAACGACCUUCAAGUGAUCUCGUUAUGGGGAAGUACAGGGGGUGAUCUUGGAGCCACAUUCAUCUUCAGGGAGGUGUAUUACAACAAACAAAUCUGCCAAGAAUUCAAAAGCCGAGUCUGGAUAAAGCUGAUGCAUCCCUUUAACCGGGACGAGUUCCUCAAGAGCUUCAUGAUUCAGUUAUGCACAAGCUCCCACCAAGCAACUGUUGGAAUGGAGGAUUUCGGUACAAGGAUGAAAGUAGCAAGAGUGGUUACUGAAGACGAUCUAAUCAAGGCCGAGCAACUCAUGAAAGAGAAUAGGUAUCUCGUCUUCCUCGAAGAAGUAUCCACCCUGGCAGAGUGGGAUGCUAUCAAAAUCUACCUGCCUGACUGUAAGAAUGGCAGCCGGAUUGUCAUGUCUACGCAGGACUUAGGUGUUGCACUUAUGUGCACUGGGGAUCCAUACCAAGUAUCGGAGCUCCGGCACUUCUCUCACGGUCAAGCUAUUUGUGCCUUUUUCAAGACGGUCUCCUCUAGUCGUCGCCGUGAUAUGAGUGAACUUAAACGGCUGAUAAGACGAGUCGGUGUGAUCUCUGUGCAUGGUCGCACGCGGAGCAAGUUAGAACUUGUCAAAGAGUUGUACCACUGCAUAAAGGAUAUUGACGAGGAACAGUAUUUUAGCUUCCAGUUUGGAAAUUAUAGAUGGGUCAAUGUUUCCAAUGGACUGAAUAGGAUGGACUUUCCUCGACGCUUACAUUUGGAUUUGGAUGAUGUUGAUGAUGAUUAUGAUGACUCAGCCGAUAAUGAUUCAGAUGAUUCUCGAGGCAACGAAGUUGACCAUGAUGAUUCACAUGGUCUUCAAGCAAACGAAGUUGCAGCAGUUGACCAAGAGUUAAUUGAAGGUUGUUGUAAGACUCUGCAUGAAAAGGAUUGCCUUGUUGUCAUUGAUGGUCUGCAGUCUACAGAAGACUGGGACUGGAUCAAAGAUACCUUCUUAACGCAGCCUACUAAAGGUUGUAUUGUUGUCAUUACAAAUGAAGAACACGUGGCCAAGCAUUGUGUAGAUGAUGAAGAAUAUCGGGCCAUCAAUUGUGAAUAUCUGGAGCCCAAGGGUCGCAGAAUCGAAGAGGCACAUGACUGGACCAACAAGUUCCAACUUUUUGGGCAUGACGGUGAUGGGGAACUUCCAUCAGAGAAGGUGACUGCGGUGUGGGGGAUUGCUGGUAUUGGGAAAUCAGAUUUCGUCAGAAACACUUACUACAACCGCAUCCUUGGUAUCUUAGGAUUCUCAUAUGUCGGAAACAUUUUUAGCUACUAUAGUUGGGUUGAUGUGCCCCAUCCCUUCAAUUUGACAGAAUUUUCUCGGCGCCUGCUUCUAGAUUUCCAUUCUGAUGAUAUUCAAGCCAAGGAAGUGGCAUCAAUUAGUAUAAUAGAAGGCCAGGACCCAAUUCAAGGGUGUCGUAAUAUCAUGAGUCGGCAUUCCUACUUAGUAGUUUUUGAUGGCCUGCGGUCCAAGGAUGAAUGGGACUUGAUAAAAGACACCUUCUUAUCUGAGUUAUCUGGGCAUUCUGCACUAAGCACUAUUGUUGUCAUUACAAAUGAAGCAACUGUGGCCAGGUAUUGUGUAGAUAAUAAGGAUGAAUGUGUGGUCAACGUCAAAGGUCUAGAAGCUGGUGAGGCCCUUGGUCUGUUCAAAAAGGUACUUGGUCCCGACAAGAUAUUGACUCCGAGGGAGAUGAAACUUUCAAAACAUAUCUUGGCCAAGUGUGGAGGCCUUCCCAAAGUGAUAGUUGCAAUAGGCAAGUAUUGUCGUCGUCGCAAUAAGGUGGAGGAUAUAAAGGAAAACUUUAUGGACAUGUUGGAAAACGACGCUAAAUUUGACUGUUUAAGGGGUCUAUUUUCUUGGAUGCACUCCUACUUUGAAGAUUGCAACGAUUCACUCAAGCCAUGUAUCUUCUAUUUGCCGGUAUUCCCUACAAACCACAACAUUAGGUGGAGGCGUUUAAUGAGGCGGUGGAUCGCGGAGGGUUAUUCCAGGGACACAUCUAGUGGUACUGCAGAGGAGAAUGGAGAAAGGUUGUUCUUUGAACUUGUCGAUUUGAGCAUAAUCCAACAACCAUCAAGUAAGUCCAUGUGUCGAGUCAAUGGUUUCUUCCAUGAAUACAUUAUCUCACGACCAAUGGAAGAUAAUCUUGUCUUUGCACUGGAGGGGCAUUGUAGUCUGAACUCGCAACUUGUGGGAAAGCACCUCACCAUAAGAAAAAGCUGGGAUAGGGACAUCAAUGUGUUUGAGAACAUUGAUUUCUCAUCACUAAGGUCUUUGACGGUGUUUGGGGAAUGGAAUCCAUUCUUCGUAUCUACCAAUAAUAAUAUAAGACUUCUUCGGGUGUUGGAUCUAGAGGACACAACAAAUGUAACAGAUAAUGACCUUGAGCAGAUCGGGAAGCUACUGCCUCGCCUCAAGUUCCUCUCCUUACGAGGACAUAGAGCGAUGACCCGUUUGCCAAAUUCAUUGGGUGACCUGAGGCAACUUCAAACAUUGGAUGCCCGACACACCUCCAUAGCCACACUCCCACAAGGUAUCACCAAGUUGCAAAAGCUGCAAUACAUACGUGCCGGCACAAGUAAACAACCAUGGAAUGAAGGUGGUAGAGUCAUAAGCCUAACAGCACCAUAUUAUGACAGUACAUUGACACCAGCACAAGAUGGCGAUGGCACUCCCCCAAGCCAACACCCAGCAGCAGCACCACCAACACAAAUAGAAGAAGGUGUUGGCAGCAGCACAAGCCAAGCAGGAGCACCAGAUGUAGUCAAGACAUCAAUAGCGUCAAGGCGCAUGCCACAUACUAUGCUAUCUAGCUGGUUUUCCAAGUUGUGCUACACAGCACCACGACUUAAUAGCCUUGGCGUUGAGGUUCCCGCAGGAAUCGGGAAAUUGACGGCCUUACAUACUCUUGGUGUUGUUAACGUCAGUGGUGUAGGUGGGAAGGCCAUCCUGAUGGAGCUCAAGAAUCUUUCCCGACUGCGCAGGCUCGGGUUGUGCGGCAUCAACCGGGAAAACUUGAAGGAGCUGUGUUCAGCCAUCUCUGGUCACGCCCAUCUGGAGUCUUUGUCAGUCCAAGUUGACAAGGAAGAGGAGCAGGGUUUGUUCUGCUGUUUCGAUGACACAAUCUCCAAGCCACCCAAGAACCUGAAGACACUUAAGUUGUAUGGGUAUGCACACAUAUUGCCAGGCAGCUGGAUGAAGCAUCUUGAUAACCUCAAAAGGUUGGAUCUUGAGAUGACCAUAUUCAGGCAAGAGGACCUACACGUCCUUGAUGAACUGCCAAAGAGCGAAGCCCUAGGUCACCUUUGUGUAAAGCUGAUUCAAGAUGCUGAGCUUCAUUUUACAACCCCAAAAGAUGUUCCGUACAACGACCUACAUCCGCGUGUGCUCGAGAUCGACUGUACCUCCAAAGUACAGGUAUCUUUUUUGCCGCCAGCUCGGAUGAUGGUAUAUGUUGAGGUGCUUAAGGUUCACUGCUCUAGUGGGUCGUCUCUGCGGUUCUCUGGGCUAGAGCAUCUAGUGUGUCUCAAGGAAGUGUGGCUCAAGGGUUCCUACGGAGACGAACUCAAGCAAGACUUGCAGCAGCAACUUUCCAGGCUUCAGAAGAAACCUGUAUUGAAGUUGGUGCAAUCCUGA